CAGCACCUUCCCCAAGUAGCCCCCCCAUGUCGUCGGCUCCUCCGCCGGCCUGGAGCGGGGGGGAACAAAAAAACAAAACAGAGAACACGAGCAUCACGUUUCGUGUCAGACGCUGCAAAAAACUUGGAACUGAGGCAAAAAGUCAUCGUUCAGCAGCACGACGGCCCAAGACAUACAAAACCACAGCUUCAAUGAUCAAAACAUGCUUAUGUGUGAGAAAAGCCUAGUCAAAGUAAAACGAGGCAAGGCAAUUUGGAAAUUGAUGUUUGGAGAUGCUCUCCAUUCAUUCUGACUGAGCUGGACGUAGCUUUGGAAAGAAUGAGGAUAAACACGAGUUUCCACAUGUGCAAAUUUAGUAAAGACCACCAAAGAGUUCACUGAGUGAUGCACAUGACAGGUUUAAGAUUCUACAUGUAGAAAAAUAAAAAAUAAUAAAGACUACUAAUCAUCUUU